ensembl:lncRNA
CACAGAGGUGGUGCUGGAGGUGCUGGAGAGGUAUUACUACAGCCUUUAUGAGUGCUUGGGGGUGCAUAACUGUAUAUAAUGCGUGGAUAAUAAAACCUACACCCUAUUCUGUUCUUAUUUCCCUCACAAAGCUCUUCCUGGGGCUGCAGAAUUAACUUUUCUUAGAUCCUCAUCCUUCCUGCAAAACUCUUCUCCUCACCCAUGAAAUCUGUCCUACGUGGGAUACAUAUUUUAAUACACUUGUUGAAAAGUUAGCAGGGCUAUGCAAAAGGAAUAGCUGCAAAAGGGCAAGGAAUUACCCUUCAGAUUGCUGAGACCACCCUUUGAAACCAUUGUGGGUGCCUUUGUGGAGUAGGGCAACUUUUCCCAGAGCUGCUUCUGACAAUCCCAUCCUGAGAGCACUGUUACUCAUGUCAGCAUCUGACUGUCUUCCAAUAAUUGUGUCAAACAGUGGUAAUAGACAACAGCUUAACAAGAAUUCUCUUUUGUGGAGAAAGAUCUGCUGGUUUCAAAGGCAUAGAUGAGAUAUUUGGGAGCAGCCCUGGCACCCCUCCAGCAGCUCACAGAUUCUCUCCUGUGCCUGGAGGGCUUUGAACUCCUUAAUGCUACACAAAAGUGGGUGAGACACAGGGAAUGGCAUCUCUGGGGGUGCUCACAGUGUAAUGUGCUCUUCUGUGUGUUGCCAGGAGAAGGAGGGAAGGAGCAGGGCUGGUGGGACUCUGCCCUGGUAGCACUUGAGAGUAUUUGUACUUCCAUCUGUCAUCUGGCCUGGCUCUCCGCCUGGGGAAAUGAACUCGGAGCUUUUCCCUAAUAAAUACACAACCAAUCCAAGAGCAGCAUCAAUUACUGACGGACUCAUCAAGGGCAUUAGCAAAUGUGAUUGCACUCAGAAUUGAUUGUCCUCACUGAGAUAACAAUCCAGCCAGACCAUCCAAGGGAAGUCAGCGCUGCCUAUUUAUAGAGAAUGAAAAAUUUCAGCAGUCGUAGACUGGGAACUUUGAAUAUAUGACUUAAAUGUAGCAGCUCAAAGGUUAUUCUUGGUCUGGGAAAGCCCAGAUAUCUAUGCUUUCUCUGUAUCAACAUUUUUCCAGGCACAAGGGCACUAACCAGAUCUCCAGGACUUCUACAUAAGUCACAGCUGGGGUGGAGCAGAAUGGUCUGUGAGUAUCUGGAAAUCCUGGAGGAAUGCCCACAGUGCUUGUGCAGAUCAAGAGCAGCAUUUCUGCAAGGGGAGAUGAGCUUGCUGUGCUCACUGUACUCACCCUGGAUGCGCUAUGCAGAUCAAACAUGCUGACUCCAUCUGGAAUCCCGGUGGGAAUUCAUUACUGACCUCACUGUGUCAUCCCUUUGGUUACAGAGAUCCAAGGCAUGGACAUCUGGUUUCCAUGCUUCAGCCAAGUGGCAUGUGGGAACUUCCCUGUUCAAAGAACAAAAGGAUUUAGUUAAAAUACCAAGAACACCUUACCACAAGCUGGAAUUCCUGUCAACUGCUCUUACUGCACAUUGCUGGCCCCAGAUCUGUAGGAAUAUAAGAGACUGAGAGGCCAAAUCCUGAUGGCCUUUGUCAUGGCUCAGAGUGAAGCAGAGCCCCUAUGUCUCUUGAGCAUGCACAUUUCUGACAGAUGUUAAAGAAACUUGGAAUCCAAAUGGAAUUGAGCCCACAUCUAUCUGAAAAUUGUAUUCAGUACCUGAAGUUAUUUUUUUAAAUGCCCUAGAUUUUGUAGACUAAAACAAUGACUUCAUGGUAAAGCUGCAUUCCAUUCCUGCAUGAAAUGUUACAGGAUGCCAUUUUUGUAAUUUCCUCCUCACUUGAUCAUGCUAACAUGGUCCCCUAGGCCUGGAAAACCACAUGUGCCAAGUGGAGGGGAUGGAAAAGUGAGAGUCACCAGUAAUACAAAACACAGUGCAGGAAGCAGUGUUUGUGAGUGUGACAGGGAACAUUUUGUCUUCUCCUUCAUCAGUCAUCACAGCGGGAAAGAGAGAAUACUUUUUGAAAAGUCUGAAAGCCACUCUUAGAGCUGCUCUGAGCCAGCUCCCAAGUGGAGCUUUGCUCACCAUGUAAAUCCCUUCCUCUCUAAAGCUUACAAUACAAUAGCAUUGAUAACAGAAAAAUAUGUACCUCCACCUACCCUCAGUCAUUGAGAGAUGGUAAAGACAGCAAGCAGAAAGCAUGGCAAUGUUGUUUGCAUUUAGGUUUAACCCUUCCACUCAUUUCUGCUCUGACUGCACUGACUGAUGGCAGCAUCUGUUCUUUUGGAAUGAAGCUGCCCAUAUUCAAGGAAGGGAGAACUAAACUGAAGGCCAAGGGACACAGUAGUGCAAGAUGUUGACUACCAUUUUAUUUCAUCUGUUUUCAGAGGUAAUAUGCUCAAGGAAAAUGCAGCUGGUUCCUUUCUAUGAGGGAAUUUGUACAUGGUUCUAGCACUGCCCAGAAGGAAGGGAGCAGUUCCUGUACUGCAGACUACAGGUUUAAUGUACAUGCGUUUCUGAGCAGCUAACUGGAAAAAUGUUUGGGGCUGACACACUUUUUCUGCAAAACUGUUUUUACCAACCUGGGUCACGAACAGAGCUGUUAGCUGCUGGCAUUUUGUGGUGCUGCAAAGAUCCUUUGGUGAAUGCAGACGUAACUGCCAUGGAACAAUUUUAUCAGAGCUGUUAGAAACGCCGUCUUUUAUGAUAUGUGUGAUUGCAUUAAGCAGUAAAAUUGCAUCCUCAAUUUUCAAAAAAUUAACUCUUGCUGAAAGAUGCACCACAGACAAUGAAGCCGGAGAGACUGCAGUUCUGUGCUGUGUACAGGACAGCAAAGAAUCAAAAGGCAAAUUCUUUCUGUACAGCACCACAAAGGCAUGUCUAUAAUACAGAGACAGCCGGCUCUAUCCUGGCUGCUGGCCAAGGUCCCCAAAACCAUCUUAUAAUUCUAACUGGCCACGUAAAGGCAGUGACACAUCCAGAUGUCCUGAGAGGUUCACUGAGAACGAGGUGCCCCCAGUCCACAAACAGAUUAAGAUCUUCAUAACUGUUCAGUUGAGCUCUCCCUGAUUCA